UACGAAGGGGGCUAGCGUUGUUCGGAAUUACUGGGCGUAAAGCGCGCGCAGGCGGCUAUCCAAGUCAGUGGUGAAAGCCCGGAGCUCAACUCCGGAACUGCCAUUGAAACUGUUUAGCUGGAGUAUGAGAGAGGUGAGUGGAAUUCCCAGUGUAGAGGUGAAAUUCGUAGAUAUUGGGAAGAACACCCGUGGCGAAGGCGGCUCUCUGGGACGGUACUGACGCUGAGACGCGAAAGCGUGGGGAGCGAACAGG
rnacentral:rRNA from 1 species